rnacentral:rRNA from 1 species
UAGGGAAUAUUGGACAAUGGGCGAAAGCCUGAUCCAGCCAUGCCGCGUGAUAGAUGAAGGCCCUCUGGGUUGUAAAUAUCUUUUAUCUGGGAAGAAACUCCUCUAUUCUUAGAGGCCUGACGGUACCAGAGGAAUAAGCACCGGCUAACUCCGUGCCAGCAGCCGCGGUAAUACGGAGGGUGCAAGCGUUAUCCGGAUUCACUGGGUUUAAAGGGUGCGUAGGCGGGCUGAUAAGUCAGUGGUGAAAGCUCCGAGCUUAACUUGGAAACUGCCAUUGAUACUGCCAGUCUUGAAUGUCGUAGAGGUAAGCGGAAUGUUGCAUGUAGCGGUGAAAUGCUUAGAUAUGUUACAGAACACCAAUUGCGAAGGCAGCUUACUAUGCGAUGAUUGACGCUGAGGCACGAAAGCGUGGGGAGCAAACAGG